UGCAAGUCGAACGAUGAAGCCCAGCUUGCUGGGUGGAUUAGUGGCGAACGGGUGAGUAACACGUGGGUGAUCUGCCCUGCACUCUGGGAUAAGCCUGGGAAACUGGGUCUAAUACCGGAUAUGACCUCUUGCUGCAUGGUGAGGGGUGGAAAGUUUUUCGGUGCAGGAUGAGCCCGCGGCCUAUCAGCUUGUUGGUGGGGUAAUGGCCUACCAAGGCGACGACGGGUAGCCGGCCUGAGAGGGCGACCGGCCACACUGGGACUGAGACACGGCCCAGACUCCUACGGGAGGCAGCAGUGGGGAAUAUUGCACAAUGGGCGAAAGCCUGAUGCAGCGACGCCGCGUGAGGGAUGACGGCCUUCGGGUUGUAAACCUCUUUCAGCAGGGACGAAGCGAAAGUGACGGUACCUGCAGAAGAAGCACCGGCCAACUACGUGCCAGCAGCCGCGGUAAUACGUAGGGUGCGAGCGUUGUCCGGAAUUACUGGGCGUAAAGAGCUCGUAGGCGGUUUGUCGCGUCGUCUGUGAAAUCCCGCAGCUCAACUGCGGGCUUGCAGG
rnacentral:rRNA from 1 species